UUCUGGUUGAUCCUGGCGGAGGUUACUGCUAUCGAGGUUCGACUAAGCCAUGCGAGUCGAAUGUAGCAAUACAUGGCGUACUGCUCAGUAACACGUGGACAACCUACCCUUAGGUCGGGGAUAAACCCGGGAAACUGGGUAUAAUACCCGAUAGUCCUCGGAUGCUGGAAUGCACCGAGGUCUAAAGCUCCGGCGCCUAAGGAUGGGUCCGCGGCCUAUCAGGUAGUAGUGGGUGUAGCGUACCUACUAGCCUACGACGGGUACGGGUUGUGAGAGCAAGAGCCUGGAGAUGGAUUCUGAGACACGAAUCCAGGCCCUACGGGGUGCAGUAGGCGCGAAAACUUUACAAUGCCGGCAACGGCGAUAAGGGGACCUCGAGUGCCAGGUUACGAAUCUGGCUGUCGUGACGCCUAAAAAGCAUUGCAUAGCAAGGGCCGGGCAAGACCGGUGCCAGCCGCCGCGGUAACACCGGCGGCUCGAGUGGUAACCGUUAUUAUUGGGUCUAAAGGGUCUGUAGCCGGCCGGAUAAGUCUCUUGGGAAAUCCAGCAGCUCAACUGUUGGGCUUCCAGGAGAUACUGUCUGGCUCGAGGCCGGGAGAGGUGAGAGGUACUUCAGGGGUAGGGGGAAAUCUUGUAAUUCGAAGGACCACCA
rnacentral:rRNA from 1 species